UAGGGAAUCUUCCACAAUGGACGCAAGUCUGAUGGAGCAACGCCGCGUGAGUGAAGAAGGUCUUCGGAUCGUAAAAACUCUGUUGUUAGAGAAGAACACGAGUGAGAGUAACUGUUCAUUCGUAUGACGGUAUCUAACCAGCAAGUCACGGCUAACUACGUGCCA
rnacentral:rRNA from 1 species